rnacentral:rRNA from 1 species
UACGAAGGGGGGCUAGCGUUGCUCGGAAUCACUGGGCGUAAAGCGCACGUAGGCGGAUUGUUAAGUCAGGGGUGAAAUCCUGGAGCUCAACUCCAGAACUGCCUUUGAUACUGGCGAUCUUGAGUCCGGGAGAGGUGAGUGGAACUGCGAGUGUAGAGGUGAAAUUCGUAGAUAUUCGCAAGAACACCAGUGGCGAAGGCGGCUCACUGGCCCGGUACUGACGCUGAGGUGCGGAAAGCGUGGGGAG